CUAUCCCUCUUCAUCUCCUCAGACAAGAAACAAGUUUAUCAUUUGUUCCAUACAAAAGGAACACUAAUUCUUUGUGAAGAAUUUAGAGAGAGAUAAUUAAGUUAAAGGCCUUUUUUUUUGUCAUUAUUAUUAUUAUUAUUAUUUUCUCCCUGAUCCUCCUCCAUCUCCUAUUAAUCCAGAAGUACUAAUUAAUGAAGGGUUAGCAUAGUUUGAUGCAAUUUGCAGGCUUAAGGAAGGUUACACAUCAGAUUCACUCAAUCGAUUCUUAUGAAGGUUAAAGGUUGUGAAAUAUGAUCAUAUUGUGGAGUUUCCUUAAUUGAAAUCCUCCUGCAGAAGCUUCAAUGGUGUGGGAAAUUAGAACAGUAAUAAUAUGUAUUUUUUGUUUUUUAAUUUGAGAUCAGUUCAUCUUGUUAUGUAUGUGUAUUAUAAAUAAGAUAUAUUUUGUUUCUGAUAAACAAAUAUUAGUGGUUAGUAAUUAGUUAAGAGAUCGAGUUCUGAAUUUCCUGCUUCAAACUCCUUCAAUGUUGUGUAUUCUUCUUCAAAAGAAAAUUGAAUUAGCCUCUUACAAAGAUGUAUAAUUGUAUAUAUAUAUGUAUUAUGAAGAAUAUGAGUGACCACAUGGAUUGUAAUUAAAGAUCUAUAUAUACAAAAUUAUGCAUAAAGCUCUUACAAAUA